GUGAAUCAUCGAAUCUUUGAACGCACAUUGCGCCCCUUGGUAUUCCAUGGGGCAUGCCUGUUCGAGCGUCAUUUACAACCUCAAGCCCUGCUUGGUGUUGGGCGUCUGUCCUCUAGCGACUACCGCGUGGACUCGCCUCAAAGGCAUUGGCAGCGGUCCUGCCGGGCCUCCUAAUCGCGCAGCACUGUUCGCGCUUCCUGGAGCCCGCGCGGAUUCGGCGUCCAUCAAGCCCAAUCUUCUGAACUUGACCUCGGAUCAGGUAGGGAUACCCGCUGAACUUAAGCAUAUCAAUAAGCGGAGGA
rnacentral:misc_RNA from 1 species